GCCUCCCAGCAUGCAGCACGGCCACGUCCUGACGCCGGCGCCAUCGGACCGGUGCAUGCCGGGAAGUAGAGUUUUUCCGUCUCUGAACGGCCCAGAGACGUUUCCUCUCCCCUCUAACGCCGCUCACACUCUGCAGUCUUCAGAGGCCAGGAUAUGUUAAUGCUGGAGUUGUUCCUGUGUGGUGGCCUCUCAGAUCUAAUGUGGACACAAUGAAGUACAAAGGAUGUGACAGAACUAUGCAAGAAUGGAUUUAGAGGUUGUCCAUCAGUCAAUACUACGCCCAGUCAACAGAUCACAUCAGAAAAUGCAGCACAAGAUGAGUUUACGAGUAUAUUGAAAAAGAAAGAGACAUGCCCCUGAAGGCAAACACAGGCAAAAGUAAAUGUGAUGGCAGUUAAAGACUUCAUUUGUUUUUCUGAUAGGGUAGCACAGGAAAUCGGAGCAGCAAGCUUUAGCAAAGGAUUUCAGUCUGGCAGCUGGCGAUGUUAAAUCCAAGUAGACGUCAUUUGUAUGUUUAAUGUUUGUCUGGCAUAAACGGUGAUUCAUUGAAAAAAGGCCUAUUUGUUGACAAAAUGUAAAAAUAUGAGGUGAACACAAGAGCAUGUCAAGUGGAAAUGUGCGCUAGCUGAACCCUGAAUGCUCUUUCCUGGAUGUGUUAUUAGGCAGGCCCUUGUUGUGUGUUGCAGAUGCCUGCCAUUACUUGGUUGAGAAUCCAGACAGUACAUGUCUCAAUUCUAUUGAUGUCCCAAAUCUGGAUGGGACAAAAAAUACUCUGGGUAAGAGUCAAGAUUCUAAAAUUUUGAAAAUCUGGAACUAAAUACAGUAAGAUACACAUUUUAGUAAGAAUAAAUAUAAGUAAUGAGGCUUUAAAAAAGUCAGCCUCAGGGAUUAAUCUCCAAAAUAUACAAAAUAGCUCAUGCAGCUCAAUAUCAAAAAACAAAUAACCCAAUCAAAAAAUGGCAGGGAAGAUCUAAAUAGACAUUUCUCCAAAGAAGACCUACAGAUGGCCAAAAAACACACUAAAAGAUGCUCAACAUCACUAAUUAUCAGAGAAAUGCAAAUCAAAACUACAAUGAGGUAUCACCUCACACUGGUCAGAAUGGCUAUCAUCAAAAAAUCUACAAACAAUAAACACUGGACAGGGUGUAGAGAAAAGGGAACUCUCUUGCACUGUUGGUGGGAAUGUAAAUUGAUACAGCCACUAUGGAGAACAGCAUGGAGGUCCCUUAAAAAACUAAAAACAGAACUACCGUAUGACCCAGCAAUCCCACUCCUGGGCAUAUACCCAGAGAAAACCAUAAUUCAAAAAGAUACAUGCAACCCAAUGUUCAUUGCAGGACUAUUUACAAGAGCCAGGACAUGGAAGCAACCUAAAUGUCCAUCCACAGAGGAAUGGAUAAAGAAGAUGUGGUACGUACAUACAAUGGAAUAUUACUCAGCCAUAAAAAGGAACAAAACAGUGCAAUUUGCAGAGACGUGGAUAGACCCAGAAACUGUCAUACAGAGUGAAGAAAGAGAAAAACAAAUAUCGUAUAAUAUCGCUUAUAUGUGGAAUCUAGAGAAAUGGUACAGAUGAACUUAUUUGCAAAGCAGAAAUAGAGACACAGAUGUAGAGAACAGAUUUAUGAAUACUGAGGCGAGGGGGGAAGCUGGGGGUGGGAUGAAUUGGGAGACUGGGAUUGACAUAUAUACCUACUAUGUAUAAAAUAGAUAACUAAUGAGAACCUACUGUUUAGCACAGGGAACUCUACUCAAUGCUUUGUGGUGACCUAAAUGGGAAGGAAAUCUAAAAAACAGGGGAUAUAUGUAUAUGUAUAACUGAUUCACCUUGCUGUACAACAGAAACUAAUACAACAUUGUAAAGCAACUAUACUCCAAUAAAAAUAUAAAAUAAAAAAUCAGCCUCCAUGGAGAUGUGGACAAAGUGGCACAUGCAGAAAAGGCAAACUAUUAAAUUCAAGUUCAGUGUGAGAUGACAGUGCAAUGUCCACUGUCCACCAAAAAUGCAAGAGUGACUAAAGAAUAUUGGAAUAAGGAAUAAGGGAAUCAUUGGUCCUAUUCUGGAACAUUCAGAACUCGACACCUCACUUUAAGAACAUCAAAAGGGCACAUACGGAGAGAGAUUAGGAUGAUGAAGGGUCUAGAACUGACAGGAGCAAGAGGUGACUGAAGAAGAUCUGGGGGAAUGUGAGCUGUCUUUAAAUGCCUGCAGAGCUGCCCUUCAACAGAGCAACUGGGCAAUUCUUCAUGACUACACAAGACAGAAGUUACGUUAAUGGAUAGAAGGGGGAAACAGAUUUCAGUCUUACAAGUAAAAACCUCAAUACUGGAAGAUUUCAGAAACUGGGAAAAGGCUUGCUGGAAAAGCAGUAAAUUCCCAUGUGGUCACAGCACAUGUUCAGAAAAACUGGUGAUCUAUUUGUGGUCUGAGGGGUAGGAUGGUCAGAUACCAAUUGUGUUUGGGAAAAAGAUGAGAUGAUUUCUAAGGUUCAUUCAGUCUGAGCCUUAUAUGAGCCCAGCAGAAAACUGCUUUCUUUAACUAACUAUAACUAACUUAUUAUAUAAGAGCUAAACUCUUAGUAUGGCAAGUUAUUAUUUAAACGUGUCAAGUAAGACUGUGUUCGACAGGUCCAAUCUUCAGUUAUUUCAGAGCCCAGACAACUACAACCUUCCCUCCAGUGUGGGAGCCACAGGCAGGGACAAAAUCAGUAUCUGUGCACUUGUCAUUCACUACUAGAGAGGCUACUUACGGGAACAGACUGUAAAGAUUAGAUGGAAUCAACAUGAAAAAAUGCAACAAUUUCCGUAACAAUGAAUGGUU